UCCUCAGUAGCUCAGCGGUAGAGUAGACGGCUGUUAACCGUUUGGUCACUGGUUCGAAUCCAGUCUGGGGAGCCA
rnacentral:tRNA from 2 species